rnacentral:snoRNA from 1 species
AGACCUUCAGACAUAGUUGAGGCGAAUUAACCCACGCCACGAUUGUAUCACUCAUUGUCUAACAU